CAUAAAAUGCAUUCACAUCGGACCUAAGUAAAUGUUGUCUGUGAAUUUCGACACAUGUAAAUUCUCUCUUUGGCAUGUAAAAUUGUGAAUGCCAGCCACAAACAAAAACAAACAAACAAACCAUCCAGUGACGAAACCAACAAUUUUGCUGCAGGAAAAAAGGAUAAAAAAAUUGAUGAAAAUUAUAACGAAAAUAAACACAGGAAUUAUUUAAGUGGAUAAUCAAAACAAAACUUCAAAUACAGGCAUAUGUAAAUUUUCAAAACUAACAUUCAAGUUGAAAUGUUUGAACGGAAGCAAUGGAGGGCAUUUAGCAUACUCUUUGUCAUUGUUGCAAGAAUAUUAAAGCUGAUCCCACUUGAACGAUCGAAAAAGUAAAGAAGACUACAAGCAGGGACCCAAACAAGGGACCAAAAGGGUUUCAAUGGCAUUUGGUAAAGUAGAUUAAAUCGAUCAGAAAAAUCAGCGAUAAAAAAAAUCCCAACUGAACAAUUCCUGAACUCCUAAAAUGAUGAUGUUUACUUAAUUGAGCGCAUGUAGACAAAUUUGAGUGAGCUGUAACCGCCAAUAGCCGCUUCUGAGUUGUGUUCAUCGAGCUUGGCGACAAAGUAAAUGCGAAUUAUUAUCUAGAAAACAUUUUGGAAGUUGCUUUGGACCCGUGGGCACUCAAACAUUAUUUCGUGGCUGUCCAAUAUUUCGUGUAGUUGAAAACGAAUUUGAUAGCCAAUUUUAAGGCUAAGUGUUUGGGGAUAGUCUCACUCCACAACCUUCCACUAAACCAAUUGUAAUUGCGGCUCAAA